rnacentral:lncRNA from 1 species
ACACAAGGCUCGCGUCAUCUGUCACGCCCAUUAUCCUCCGGUGCCUCGGCUCGAAUGUCACUAAGUAACUUCCACACGAGAUGAAAGGAGCGGCGCGCGGAGCGGGAGCAAUGCUAGGCGUAGAGUAGAGUAGAGUAGAGUAGAGUAGAGUAGAGUAGAGUAGAGAAGAGAAGAGAAGAGAAGAGAAGAGAAGAGAAGAGAAGAGAAGAGAAGAGAAGAGAAGAGAAGAGAAGAGAAGAGAAGAGAAACUUCACCUAAAGUAUCGAUCCGAUACCAAUACUGGCGUUGAUUCCGACUGAUCCUCCCACACCUGUCGUGAAGCUUCAGACGAGCCAGUAAGCUGCUGGAUUCACUCUUAUGAAUGAUCCGAUGGUGAGAGUAUUUAACACCGGCCUCUCAGCACUCGAGCAUUUCUCACGACACACUCCUCUGAGAGAGCUGACCCGAUGGAUCCAUGUCGAGACCCCGUCUUCUCCGAGCAGGACUGUCUGGAUUUAUACACAUCCCUCUCUGACUCCGCAGCCGAGCAGAGCGAGCAGGAGCAGGAGCUGGAGACCGAGCAGAGCGCUGCAGGAUCCGAGCUGAAGCGUGCUGUCACUCACACGGACGCUUGGAGCAUCACUUUAAUUGAUUCCGCACAAGGCAGUAACAGCAGAACUGCAUCGCUCUGCGUGUCAACAUCGCAACUGCUCUCAAAAUACAGGCUCAAUCGUGACAAGGUUGACUCGAGCGUGGUGUGGGCCCGCGUGGCUCCUGUGCACGUGUCUCUCCUGGAGUCCGCUGAACUUCUCUUCAAUGUGUCUGUUCCCUGGCUGCCAGUGGAACUGCCGUACAGAAGCAGAUGUAAGUAUUACAGAUGA